rnacentral:rRNA from 1 species
GAUGAACGCUGGCGGCGUGCCUAAUACAUGCAAGUCGAGCGAACGGACGAGAAGCUUGCUUCUCUGAUGUUAGCGGCGGACGGGUGAGUAACACGUGGAUAACCUACCUAUAAGACUGGGAUAACUUCGGGAAACCGGAGCUAAUACCGGAUAAUAUUUUGAACCGCAUGGUUCAAAAGUGAAAGACGGUCUUGCUGUCACUUAUAGAUGGAUCCGCGCUGCAUUAGCUAGUUGGUAAGGUAACGGCUUACCAAGGCAACGAGGCAUAGCCGACCUGAGAGGGUGACCGGCCACACUGGAACUGAGACACGGUCCAGACUCCUACGGGAGGCAGCAGUAGGGAAUCUUCCGCAAUGGGCGAAAGCCUGACGGAGCAACGCCGCGUGAGUGAUGAAGGUCUUCGGAUCGUAAAACUCUGUUAUUAGGGAAGAACAUAUGUGUAAGUAACUGUGCACAUCUUGACGGUACCUAAUCAGAAAGCCACGGCUAACUACGUG